AUGAACCUGGACCACAUGUCCUUGGAGCCCCUGCCCAUGCCACAGUCCUUGAUCCAGAUUCUGGAGGGCUUGGCAGGGAGCCUGGGGGGAUGGUGCCCUGUCCCCUCACCUUGGGCUGGGAGCUUCGCAGGGGGAGCGGCUUCUGUGCUUCAUCCCAGGAGCUUCUCCGGGAAGGCGCUGUGGGAGAACGGGCUGAGAACAUGGGCCUGGCUCCCUGAGGACUGCAGGGGAGGCGUGGCCCGGCUGCUUCCCAGGCCAGUUCUGCCCACCUGUUGCUUGGAAAAGCCCCACACAGAGCAAUGGCUCAUGAGGCGGCAGCCCAGGGACCCCUUCCAGUCUCAGAAGAGAAAAGGGAACCCUUCACUCAUGUCUGUCUCUGCCAGCCAGGGUUCCAGGGCUCCGAGCCGGGUCAGGGGUCGCAUCCGCGGGGAUCCCAGGAACCUGAUGAAGGGCCGGGCCGCGUGGCACUGUCUGGGUGUGCACAGCUCCUCAGGCGCCCACCGGGCAGCACCAUGGCUCUCUGUGCACAAACAUCCCCCUGCAGGUUCAGAUAGACCCAUGGGCACUGCAAGGCUGCCUGGCACCUCCCCAUCUCAGCCCUCACUGCCCAUGGGAGUCCAUCAGGAGCCCCGCCCCAGGGCUGGGCACGGCACAGGGCAGAGGCUUAUGGAUCUGUUGAGUGGAUGGACAGACGCAGCCCACAGAAACGAAUUCUUUUUCUUCACUCCUGAUUGAGCUCUCCAUUGGCCGUGGCCCCCACAUGUGGCAGGCACCUGCGGCUGUCUGUCUUCAGCAUGUGCGCCCCACCUAUGCACGCAGAGAGGCCACUGUGGGGUGGCCCCUACUCCAGGAGAAAGACUGCGCUGGAGGCCGGAGCCCUGAGUUAGAGCCGUGCCGUCUCCUUCUGGGCAGGGCGCUGGCCACCGCUCAGGGUACCCAGCUGGAGCCUCAUUCACUGCGAAGUGACCACAGGUGUCUGAAGAUGAGGCACCUGCUUCCUCAGACCCCUCUGCUCACCAGGUACCAGGUCUUCCCUGGAAGUAGCAUUGUCACUCAGGAGACGCUUGGCAGCCAGGGGCGGUCAGGCCUCAGCGAAGGGCUGGAAGGGACACUGUGUCAGACAAACACCAUGUGUCUCUGCAGGACCUCUGGGGGGGCCUCCAGGAGGGAGAGGCCAGGCCGUGUUGGCAGCAGGUGGCUGGGAGGAUGCCUCGGGGACCUCACAGCUGUUGCUGCACCCCCUAACUCAUCCUUCCCGGAGUCACUCAGGAGUCUUCGCUGCACAGGUUCUGGGCUGCCGAGCAGUGCUCUGAGAGUCACUGUGAGUAGCUUGGCCCAGGCUCUGCUUUAAGAUCAGUCCGGCAGGAAUAUUUACAGCACGGCAACUGGCAGACACUGUAUGUGGGCAGCUUGGCAUCACAUGGGCACCCCGGUGCUGGAGAUUUCACUGGCCAGACCGCCACCCCCAAUUCCACAGGGGAAACCCAAGAGGCAUGGUGCUCAUGGCCUUGCCCUGGUGUCAUUCCUGGGUCACAGCUGUGCCCUGCGCAGGCUGCCCCCACAGGGACCCCACCCUGGGUGCCACACUGGCAUCUCUCCCCCAAGUCCCUGUGUCAUGGGCAUGAACACAGUGAGGAGAACACCUGCCAGGCGCCCGUGCUGGGCGUGGAGUGUGGAUGGGAAGCCACAGUGGCUGCUCAUUACGUGCACAGCCCCGCCCAUCCUGACCUCCAGG
rnacentral:lncRNA from 13 species